UAUGUGAUCGUCUCUCGCAUAUCAAUAAGCGGAGGAAAAGAAGCUAACAAGGAUUCCCCUAGUAACGGCGAGUGAAGCGGGAAGAGCUCAAAUUUGAAAUCUUAAAGGGUUUCCCUUUACGAAUUGUAGUUUAAAGAAGUGUUUUCUGUUGAGGUUUUGGUAAAAGUUCUUUGGAAUAGGACAUCAUAGAGGGUGAGAAUCCCGUAUUUGACCAUUACUUUUCAACUUUGUGAUACACUUUCAAAGAGUCGGAUUGUUUGGGAAUGCAGUCCAAAAUGGGUGGUAAAUUUCAUCUAAAGCUAAAUAUUGGCGAGAGACCGAUAGCGAACAGGUACCGUGAGGGAAAGAUGAAAAGAACUUUGAAAAGAGGAGUUAAACAGUACGUGAAAUUGUCAAAAGGGAAGCGUUUGACACCAGUGUUGUUUUUCUGAAAAUCAAUUAAAGAACUGUUUAUGCUAAGUUGUUUAGACUUUAUCAGCUAACUGUUUAGUUUUGAGCUUUUCUUUAAUGCACUUUUCAGUUAACAAGUCAACAUCAAUUUCUUUUGCUGUAAAAAAGCUUGAGGAAGGUGGCUUGAGAUUCAUCUUAAGUGUUUAUAGCCUCUUGCCUAUGCAGUCGGAGAGAUUGAGGUCUGCAGCGUAGAUCCUUCGGGGCUAAAUGCAUUUGUGCUAAGUUAUAGCAUUUUAUAGACAACUUGUUGACUAUGAUUUGUCUUGUAGCUUACUCGCUUAUGUUAUUUUACCUACGCUUAGGAUGUUGAGUAGCGACAUACGCAC
rnacentral:rRNA from 1 species